UGGUAAUGCCGGAUGCUCCAGUUGGAUGCAUGUCCUUCUGGGAAAGAUUCAUCGGUAUGGGAUGGGGUCGCGUCCUAUCAGCUUGAUGGCGGGGUAACGGCCCACCAUGGCUUCGACGGGUAGCCGGCCUGAGAGGGCGACCGGCCACAUUGGGACUGAGAUACGGCCCAGACUCCUACGGGAGGCAGCAGUGGGGAAUAUUGCACAAUGGGCGCAAGCCUGAUGCAGCGACGCCGCGUGCGGGAUGACGGCCUUCGGGUUGUAAACCGCUUUUGACUGGGAGCAAGCCCUUCGGGGUGAGUGUACCUUUCGAAUAAGCACCGGCUAACUACGUGCCAGCAGCCGCGGUAAUACGUAGGGUGCAAGCGUUAUCCGGAAUUAUUGGGCGUAAAGGGCUCGUAGGCGGUUCGUCGCGUCCGGUGUGAAAGUCCAUCGCUUAACGGUGGAUCCGCGCCGGGUACGGGCGGGCUUGAGUGCGGUAGGGGAGACUGGAAUUCCCGGUGUAACGGUGGAAUGUGUAGAUAUCGGAAAAGAACACCA
rnacentral:rRNA from 1 species